AUAUCAAUAAGCGGAGGAAAAGAAACCAACAGGGAUUGCCCUAGUAACGGCGAGUGAAGCGGCAACAGCUCAAAUUUGAAAUCCGGCUUCGGCCCGAGUUGUAAUUUGUAGAGGAAGCUUUUGGUGCGGCACCUACCGAGUCCCCUGGAACGGGGCGCCAUAGAGGGUGAGAGCCCCGUAUGGUAGGACGCCAAUCCUCUGUAAAGCUCCUUCGACGAGUCGAGUAGUUUGGGAAUGCUGCUCUAAAUGGGAGGUAAAUUUCUUCUAAAGCUAAAUAUUGGCCAGAGACCGAUAGCGCACAAGUAGAGUGAUCGAAAGAUGAAAAGCACUUUGAAAAGAGGGUUAAACAGCACGUGAAAUUGUUGAAAGGGAAGCGCUUGUGACCAGACUUGCGCCGGGCUGAUCAUCCGGAGUUCUCUCCGGUGCACUCUGCCCGGCUCAGGCCAGCAUCGGUUCUCGCGGGGGGAUAAAGGCCCUGGGAACGUAGCUCCUCCGGGAGUGUUAUAGCCCAGGGUGCAAUGCCCUCGCGGGGACCGAGGAUCGCGCUCUGCAAGGAUGCUGGCGUAAUGGUCAUCAGCGA
rnacentral:rRNA from 1 species